rnacentral:lncRNA from 1 species
CGGGUGAAGGCCUACACCUGCCCCAGGACGGCCAGGUCCACCAGCACCUGCAACAGACGGAGAACUGAAGGAGCAUCUUGAAGCUGUGGCUGUCUUGAAGGUGUCGCCGCUUGUCCUCACGAGCACCAUUUUGAUUCUCGUGCCCUGUGUGCAUGGGUGGCCAGCGUUGCUGGUAGGGCUCCUGCACGCUCAGAGUGGCCUUGGCCAGGAAGUCCGGGGUUUCCGCAGGCAGAGUGGAUGAACAAGGUACUGAGAAGAUCACAUACUGCAUGUCCUCCUAAAACCUGGUCCUGGCAUAACCUUCUAAGCUGUUUU